AGCUUGGUCAGGAGAGUUAAAUCAUCAUCACCACCUCUUUCCCCGAGAUCCAUGUGAACUGACUUGAAAAGCCUUGGUUAUAUCAGUCUUCUGCCCUUCUCUCAAGCUCCUCCCCAUAGUAGUCCUGCUUCUAACCAGGGCCCCAUAGCCAUUCCUAAGAGAGGAAAUCACUGGGAAGGAACUCACCUUCCUCAUCACCACUACACCACUAACUGUUGACCAUCAUCAAUUGGAAAUCAGAAGUGCGUGUCAGAGUUCCAACAAUUAAGCUUUAUGAUGGUGUUAUGAUAGAUGUCCUUUCUGUGGAUUUUCCAAAUGGCAAAGUAAUUGAAAACUCACCAGAUGGAACAAACACAAGACUAAUUUUUCACAUCAGUUUUAAAUCAACAAGGCCAGUGUCUUUUUCAGCUGAUGUGCUAUUUUUGGAUGACAAAAAUAACUGAGGAAGAAAGCGAUUCCCCUCCUUCAAACAAGGGAAUGCCGGAUCCCAUUUCUCUCCCAAGAAUACCAUCUCCCAUCCAGAGCCCCAAAACCAGUAUUGAUUCUGCAUUACACAAUCAAGAUUCCCUUUUCAGUAUGUAAUACAAAAUGCGUACUUCUAUAACCAAAUAUAUAUAGCACUAAAUUUGUAAAUUCAUUUUUUGUAGCACAGCUCACAAUAUACUUUGAAAAAAAUUAUAGUCAGUUCUCUAUUACUCUCAGAUGGACUAUAUGUUCUUUGGAUUAUUUCUAUUGACCAGAGUCAGACCAGAUUAUGAUUCUAUGCGUGUAUGUUGUGUGUAUGUAUGUGCAUGUAUAUAUGUAAUUAUAUACAUAUAUAUAUGAUU